CUGCAGCAGUUAAGCUGACUUGCCCACCUCCCUGGUGCGGGCCUAGUGUGCAGCCACUGCAAAAAGCAGACUCCUUGGUUGUGUGUGCAAAUCAUUCCUUGUAUGUGCUGUUUUAAGGAACCUUUGGAGACAUCU
ensembl:snoRNA SNORA70 Small nucleolar RNA SNORA70